UACGUAGGGGGCAAGCGUUUGUCCGGAAUCAUUGGGCGUAAAGCGCGCGUAGGCGGCCCGGUAAGUCCGUUGUGAAAGUCAAAGGCUCAACCUUUGAACGCCGAUGGAUACUGCCGGGCUAGAGUCCGGAAGAGGCGAGUGGAAUUCCUGGUGUAGCGGUGGAAUGCGCAGAUAUCAGGAGGAACACCAAUAGCGAAGGCAGCUCGCUGGGACGGUACUGACGCUGAGGCGCGAAAGUGUGGGGAGCGAACAGG
rnacentral:rRNA from 1 species